rnacentral:rRNA from 1 species
AUUGAACGCUGGCGGCAGGCCUAACACAUGCAAGUCGAGCGGAGCGGCGGACGGGUGAGUAAUGCCUAGGAAUCUGCCUGGUCGUGGGGGAUAAGGUCAGGAAACGGGCGCUAAUACCGCAUACUAUCAGAUUAGCCUAGGUCGGAUUAGCUGGUUGGUGGGGUAACGGCGUACCAAGGCGACGCUCCGGAACUGGUCUGAGAGGAUGAUCAGACCCAGUGGAACUAAUACACGGUCCAGACUCUUACGGGAGGCAGCAGUGGGGAAUAUUGGACAAUGGGCGAAAGCCUGAUCCAGCCAUGCCGCGUGUGGGAAGAAGGUCUUCGGAUUGUAAAGCACUUGAAGUUGGGAGGCGUUACCAACAGAAUAAGCACCGGCGAACUUCGUGCCAGCCGCCGCGGUAAUAC